GGGGAGGUGGAGAGAGGAUAGGUAGAGGAGAGGGGAGGAGGAGGGAGGAUAGGUAGAUGAGAGCCUAUCACAAGAUGGAGUUGAAAGAGGAGACACGCUCCGUGGAAGAGAGGGAGAUGAACAUCAGGAUAAAGGUUCAUAAAUGUUAUGUUUCUUGGUCCUCUGGGCCAAUGAGAGGGCCUGGAGCAGGCACAUGACUGAUGAGGGACCAAUCGGAGACGUUCACUGUAUGCAUCAACGUAGUGGAGUGUGACACAACACCACAUACCUUCACCAUUGCAUUCAUAUCACACACACACACAGACGCACGCACACACACACACACGUGAAUGAAUGUCUGCUUACUGUACCAGGGGCUAUAUCAGAACAACCCUAAUAGGUACAUCAUUUUAUAUACUACUAGCUACUAGCAUGAGACUGAUACGCAUAGCCCAACACCCAUCACCCUAACCUGCGAUGAAAACACAUGAGACUGAUCCCCAACACCCAACACCCUAACCUGUGAUGAAAACACAUGUGGAUGGAUCUGAUCUGACCUGUCUCCAGGGUCACUACAGUACCAUCCCUGUGGUUUACAUAGCCUUAAAAUCACAGCGCUAACCCCCAUCCCUCCUCAGACCAUCACAACUACAGGAACUGGGAAGAAAAUGGCUGCCUAUCGGCCCCUGGUUGAAAUGAUUUCACUUGAUAAUGAUAGAUGAACAUACGCAGACCAUAAAAACAGGUGAGGUUCGUGAUGUACUAGAGUUAGUCUGUUAGUUGACAGGGGGUAGUCCAGACUAGGAUGUGGUACUAGAGUUAGUCUGUUAGUUGACAGGGGGUAGUCCAGACUAGGAUGUGGUACUAGAGUUAGUCUGUUAGUUGACAGGGGGUAGUCCAGACUAGGAUGUGGUACUAGAGUUAGUCUGUUAGUUGACAGGGUGUAGUCCAGACUAGGAUGUGGUACUAGAGUUAGUCUGUUAGUUGACAGGGGGUAGUCCAGACUAGGAUGUGGUACUAGAGUUAGUCUAUUAGUUGACAGGGGGUAGUCCAGACUAGGAUGUGGUACUAGAGUUAGUCUGUUAGUUGACAGGGUGUAGUCCAGACUAGGAUGUGGUACUAGAGUUAGUCUGUUAGUUGACAGGGGUAGUCCAGACUAGGAUGUGGUACUAGAGUUAGUCUGUUAGUUGACAGGGGGUAGUCCAGACUAGGAUGUGGUACUAGAGUUAGUCUGUUAGUUGACAGGGGGUAGU